rnacentral:lncRNA from 1 species
UGACUGAAGGAGUCUUUAAUUGGUUUUAAACUAAAGAUGGUCUUUGUUCGACUCAACUGAAGAAGUCUUUGAUCGACUUUAAAUUAAAGAUGGUCUUUAUUUGGUUUGACUAAAAGAGUCUUUGGUCGCUUUUAAAUUAAAGAUGAUCUUUGUUCGGCUCGACUGAAGGAGCUCUUAAUUGACUUUAAACUAAAAAUAACUUUUGUUUGAUUCGACUGAAGGAGUCUUUGUUCGACUUUAAACGAAAUGACCCA